rnacentral:lncRNA from 1 species
UUAUUUUCAACUAGAAAGGUGCAAACAUGUAACUUUUGGUCACACUCUCAACAAAUAAACUGUCCGAAAAACAGUCAUAUCAAAGUAGAAACAAAUGCUUCCAGGUGAAAAAACUGAUCAGCUAUAUAGAGUCACUCAGUUUUUAAUAAAGGCCAUUUGUUCAUUAAAAGUGAGGCUACCACAUUUCCUACCUAGAAAUCAGCCUGCCAAGGACACUGAUGCCUCACCUUUGCAAACAAUCUGUUUUGACGGACUGUCAUUCUAUCUGAGCAGAAUUUCCAUAUAAGUAUCCAUUUCAUGCUUUGAACGAUCAGACAAGCUUUACUUGACUCAGUCUCUUGAUGGCUGGAGAAUGCACAUCCUAGCUGUCACUGGGGCUACAGGCAGAUCAGUGAGCACGCUACAAUUUUCCUUCUCAAUUACACUUCAAAUAGCAGGCAUAUUACUCGUAUAAGAUGCUAUCUGAUGAUACUAACCUUUCUGCUGGUACCCUCCCACUGCUCCUAAAGCCACACCUUAAUAUACAUUCUGGUGCUGUGUACUAAUGUAGUUCCACUGUCAAGUCUUAACAUUCUUCAAACCAGUGUCUGGGGUUGAUAGACUAUUUGUUUGACAUGGCACAAUGUUUUGAAUUGGGUGGGAAUCUUUUCCCCCAGUUAGAAAAACAGAUUCAAAUAACUUGUGCUACUGAAAUCAUUUUUACGGAAAAAUGAGAUGUGAAUCAGUUCAAGUUCCAGUCUAAUGAGUUAAUGUCUCUCACUCUCUGGCUUCAUGCCAUGUCUCCGUACAUCUUCCUGUAGUACAGCGACUCAAAGAUGUCAUUGUCUCCGGGACAGUUGUAAUGGCAGGCACAGGUCUUGAUGAACAUCAUGUUCUUCUUCAUGACCUCGCCGUCAGGGCACUUGAACUCCACCGGCAGGGUGGUGGUUCUGUGGGGGGUGCAGCAUCGGCCGUCGGUACAUACUCCACAGAAUUUAGCUCGGUAUGUCUUCAUGCUGGUGCAGCCAGAAAGCUCAAACUUGAUAGGCUUGGAGAUUUUGGGAGUACGGAUGCACUUUUUGCCCUUCUAAGGAAGACAAGGGAAAAGAGAGAGGAAAAAAAAAAUCAGCGACACUACAAGAGGAGUGGCUUUCUUCAACCCUCUGUGUUUUAGUCUUCUGUUGUCUGACUUCUGUUUAUAUUUUGAGGGGAGGAAGUUUGAGUCUCAUUUGCUAUGUCCAAAAAUAGCCAGGGCCUCUCUUGGAAUGUCUUGAAUUAACUAACCCUGUGGAAGAUUUCGUGGUGGAAAACUGGUGGUUGCUAUUACACAAGCUCUCAUUCCAGCAAAACAGCUCAAUGGUUAGAUAGUUUUGGAGAUAACGGGCUUAUACUAACAAGCGUGGCAAGAGCCCUAAGUUGGGUCCUAUCCACUGUUUUUCCUGUGAAAAACAGUUAAUAGGAGCAGAACAUGUACCUUAAUGUUCUCUUCCAGGUCAGCUUCGCAAGGCCUGACCAUGCACAGGCGGCUCUGCUUCUCUAGCCUGCAGGAGGCGUUGUCAUUGGUAACCCGGGUGGAGAUGCCCAUCCCACAGGUCUUGGAACAGGCGCUCCACUCUGUGGUCUGGACCAGGCAGUUGGCUCUCAUCAUAGUUGGGUCUGGGCCAAACGUGUCUUCCAGUCGGUAAGCUGCGAGAGCAGAGCGCACGAACACCAUGUAAAACGCCUGGAUAAGGUAUUUCCCCGUUCGCUCGGCACAGUUAGGACUCCCUCCCUGGGAGAGAAUCACGACCCUGACUUAGAGGAAGACUCGACUCACCCGCGAGGGCAGGCCCAACCACGGUUUGGUCCUUGGGCUCGUCACACACCCACUCCUCGCAGCAUUUCCCGGGCAGCUUGACCCUCCUCGGGAAGGGGCAGUCAGGGCUGGGCAGACGAACGUCCAUGCUGCACAGGGGCAUGCAGCCCACCGCCCCGUCCAGGCACGUGCACUGGUACUUGCAGCUGCUCUGGAAGGACUCUCCGCUGCGGUACACCGUACCACCGAAGAUGCAGGGAGCACCAUCUUUGGCUGGAGAAGAGGAAGGGAAGAGAAGGGUGGGGGAUGCAGAGGUCAGGCAUUGGGGCGCUCUCACAUCCAGAGCGUCAGGGAUGCGAGUUGGGAUCUGGGCUGCAG